UCCCGGAUGGCUCAGUGGUAAAGAAUCCGCCUGCCAAUGCAGGAGACCCAGGUUCAAUCCCUGGUCCAGGAA
rnacentral:tRNA from 1 species